GGAGAGAGACUAGCUCAGUGGUAAAACACCUGCUUUGCAUGCAACAGGUCCCAGGUUCAAUCCCUGCUAUCUCCA